rnacentral:rRNA from 1 species
UACGUAGGGGGCGAGCGUUGUCCGGAAUUAUUGGGCGUAAAGAGCGUGUAGGCUGUUCGGUAAGUCUGAUGUGAAAGCCCUGGGCUCAACCUGGGAAUGGCAUUGGAUACUGGCGACCUAGAGUGCGGUAGAGGGUGGCGGAAUUCCCGGUGUAGCAGUGAAAUGCGUAGAUAUCGGGAGGAACAUCCGUGGCGAAGGCGGCCACCUGGACCAGCACUGACACUGAGGCACGAAAGCGUGGGGAGCAAACAGG